AUCAAGUUGACGAGUGCCAAAUAGGACGAAACGCGCGUCCUGGAU
rnacentral:hammerhead_ribozyme from 1 species